AGGUAAUUCAAACUUGCCAAACGGCCAUAACUCGAGCAUUUCGUCCAGCGUUCAUAUUUUUCCUUUGAAAAGAUUAAAUUCUUGUUAUGCUGGUUUAGAUGAAGGUAUUAAGUGUCAAGGAAUGAACCUCGUUUCGUUGGCACUUGAAUAUCAUCAUCUAAAGCAAGCCUACCAAAAAUUUAUUCUUUUCAAAGGAAAAGCAUGAAUGCGGGACGAAAUGCUUGAGUCCUGUUGUUGGCAUGUUUAAAUUUACCC
rnacentral:pre_miRNA from 1 species